AGAUAUGAAUGCAGAGACUCUCUCUGCUCUUGGCUUGUGUUUCCUAAGCAGUGACUACAUUGAAUAUACUCUCAGUUGUUCCAGAUUUACCUGUUGCUCUCUGCUGACUGCUCUGUAAAUGGUUUAUAGCUGAAGCUUCAUUGUAGUAUAAAACUUCAUUUUAGUUUUAAAAACCUUUCUUUGUUGUCUAGAGCCUGUGUGGUGCCCCUAUCUCCUUGUUCCAAGGGCUUCUCUUGCCUUGAAAGCCUUCUUAUUACACCAGCCUUGGAAUGGACAGUAUUCUUUGGACAUUUCUUAUGUUGACUAUCCAGAAAAUGAAGAAAUAAAGAAUCUCCUCCAAGAACAGUUGAAUUCAUUGUCUAAUGACAUAAAGAAACUGUUGCUUGAUCCAGAAUUCACUCUCUUGCAGAGGUGCCUGCUUGUUUCAAGGCUCUAUGGUGAUGAAUCUGAGCUGCACUUCUGGACUGUCGCUGCCCACUACCUGCACAGCUUAUCCCAGGAAAAGUCAGCCAGCACAACAGCUCCUAAAGAAGCUGCUCCUCGAGACAAA
rnacentral:sRNA from 1 species